GACGAACGCUGGCGGCGUGCUUAACACAUGCAAGUCGAACGGAAAGGCUCUGCUCUUGUGGGGUGCUCGAGUGGCGAACGGGGGAGUAACACGUGAGUAACCUGCCCUUGACUUUGGGAUAAAUUCAGGAAACUGGGGCUAAUACCGGGUAUAAGCUCCUGCUGCAUGGUGGGGGGUGGAAAGUUUCGGCGGUUGGGGUUGGACUCGCGGCUUAUCAGCUUGUUGGUGGUGUAGUGGCUGACCAAGGCUUUGACGGGUAGCCGGCCUGGGAGGGUGACAGGCCACAUUGGGACUGGGAUAGGGCCCAGACUGCAACGGGCGGCAGCAGUGGGGAAUAUUGCAAAAUGGGCGGAAGCCGGAUGCAGGAACGCCGCGUGCGGGAUGACGGCCUUCGGGUUGUAAACCGCUUUCGCCGGUGACGGAGCGUGAGUGACGGUAAUGGGUAAAGAAGCACCGGCUAACUACGUG
rnacentral:rRNA from 1 species